rnacentral:rRNA from 1 species
GAUGAACGCUGGCGGCGUGCCUAAUACAUGCAAGUCGAGCGAACAGACGAGGAGCUUGCUCCUCUGACGUUAGCGGCGGACGGGUGAGUAACACGUGGAUAACCUACCUAUAAGACUGGGAUAACUUCGGGAAACCGGAGCUAAUACCGGAUAAUAUAUUGAACCGCAUGGUUCAAUAGUGAAAGACGGUUUUGCUGUCACUUAUAGAUGGAUCCGCGCCGCAUUAGCUAGUUGGUAAGGUAACGGCUUACCAAGGCAACGAUGCGUAGCCGACGUGUGAGGGUGAUCGGCCACACUGGAACUGAGACACGGUCCAGACUCCUACGGGAGGCAGCAGUAGGGAAUCUUCCGCAAUGGGCGAAAGCUUGACGGAGCAACGCCGCGUGAGUGAUGAAGGUCUUCGGAUCGUAAAACUCUGUUAUUAGGGAAGAACAAAUGUGUAAGUAACUAUGCACGUCUUGACGGUACCUAAUCAGAAAGCCACGGCUAACUACGUG